CCAUCUUCUCCACCCUUCAAAUCCCUAUGCUCCUGAACGGACAGUGAACAGAGGGAAUAACAUGGAAUAGAGACGGGAUUUUAAGAGAAAAAUUCGACGGCAAUUGGGGUUAUAUUCUUGUGUUAGCGAGGAAUCUGUUUCGGAAGGGAAAGUGUAAAGAUAAAUCUCUGUCUCUUCUUUUCAAUUUCAAUUUCGGUUGCAAUUUGGAGGUUGUUUACGGUGUUCAGGCUCGGGCUUUGAGGUGUCGAUCGAGGUUCAAGUUCCGGAUUCUUUAUCUAGUUUAGCCGUAGCAUUAGUUCCAUUCCAAUACGUCGCUGAAUUUUCCUCGCUUGUAUAUUCAAAGUCGAAUUUAUCAGAUAGUUUCUGUUCAGAUGUUAGCUCUGAGCUCAGGGUAUGUUGGAUUCUGGUCCCCCGAUGUUAUAAAAAGAUUAGCAGGUCAAACAUUAACUUUAUCUGUUUCUGCUCGAUGCAAUAGCUGCUUCCCAAGUUGUGCUCGAUGAGGCAAAGGUAGCGGACUUGAAAUUUCUAUAGUUGGACUUGGAGAAGGCCAUUUUUGGGUGAAAAUGCAUUCAGAUAGCUCAAAUCUAGCAAUGGCUACUAUCGCAGAAGAGAUAUCCAUGAUUUAUUGCUAAUAGAGAUUGGUUAUGAGUUUCUACAAGUUUCUUGUAUUACUAAAUGUAUUGUUAAGAAUUGGAUGAACAAUCCAUUUGAAUUAUGCUAUUUAUGUCGGUACCUGGUUUGGUAUGAUCUGUUGUUUUAGUAAGUGGAUAUUGCUACAAAUAUGAGAUAUGUGGAUAUGUAACAUGUGGUUACGAUCUUGCAGUUAAUAUAUGUUAUGAAAUCGGUUCUUUGGAUGGUAAGAACGAGAAUAUGCAAGAAUCAAAAUUUUGAAGAA